UGCAUACCAAAAGAAAAGGGAGGUAUGAGUUUUCACGACUUGUACUGUUUCGGUUUAGCGAUGCUGGCGUAACAGGUUUGGAGAUUGAAGGUAGAACUCGUAUCACUCUGUGCAGGAGUCCUUCGUGCCAAAUACUACCCGUGUGGGAAUUCGCUCAACCUGGCAAAGAAUCUUGGCAUGAGUACAAUGUUUCGGGGGGGGCUUAUGUAG
rnacentral:rRNA from 1 species